rnacentral:tRNA from 1 species
GGUUGUGGCUCAGUGGCAGAGCACUUCCCUAGCAUGUGUGAGGCACUGGGUUCGAUUCUCAGGACCA